GAUGAACGCUAGCGGCGGGCUUAAUACAUGCAAGUCGAGGGGCAGCACGAUGUAGCAAUACAUUGGUGGCGACCGGAGGACGGGUGCGUAACACGUAUGCAACUUGCCCACUACUAGGGAAUAGCCCGAAGGAAUUCGGAUUAAUACCCUAUAACAUCCGGGCAGACAUCUUUCUGGGAUCAAAGCUCCGGCGGUAUAGGAUGGGCAUGCGGUCGAUUAGCUUGUUGGUGAGGUAACGGCUCACCAAGGCGACGAUCGAUAGGGGGCCUGAGGGGGUGAUCCCCCACACUGGUACUGAGACACGGACCAGACUCCUACGGGAGGCAGCAGUAAGGAAUAUUGGUCAAUGGGCGCAAGCCUGAACCAGCCACGCCGCGUGAAGGAAGACGGCCCUAUGGGUUGUAAACUUCUUUUCUACGGGAAUAAACCUCAGGACGUGUCCUGAGCUGAAGGUAUCGUAGGAAUAAGGAUCGGCUAACUCCGUGCCAGCCGCCGCCGUAACAC
rnacentral:rRNA from 1 species